GAUGAACGCUGGCGGCGUGCUUAACACAUGCAAGUCGAGCGAGUGAGUUCUUCGGAACGAUCUAGCGGCGGACGGGUGAGUAACACGUGGGCAACCUGCCUCAUAGAGGGGAAUAGCCUCCCGAAAGGGAGAUUAAUACCGCAUAAAAUUAUCGAGUGGCAUCACAUGAUAAUCAAAGGAGUAAUCCGCUAUGAGAUGGGCCCGCGGCGCAUUAGCUAGUUGGUGAGGUAACGGCUCACCAAGGCGACGAUGCGUAGCCGACCUGAGAGGGUGAUCGGCCACAUUGGGACUGAGACACGGCCCAGACCCCUACGGGAGGCAGCAGUGGGGAAUAUUGCACAAUGGGGGAAACCCUGAUGCAGCAACGCCGCGUGAGUGAUGAAGGUCUUCGGAUUGUAAAGCUCUGUCUUUGGGGACGAUAAUGACGGUACCCAAGGAGGAAGCCACGGCUAACUACGUGCCAGCAGCCGCCGCAG
rnacentral:rRNA from 1 species